AGGGGAUAUGGCGAAUCCGGUAGAA
rnacentral:tRNA from 1 species